rnacentral:rRNA from 1 species
AUUGAACGCUGGCGGCAGGCUUUACACAUGCAAGUCGAACGAGUGGCGAACGGGUGAGUAAUAUAGGGGAACGUCCCGAGUAAUGGGGGAUAACCAAGCGAAAGAUUGGCAAAUACCGCAUACAAUUGGAGGGGCCGAUAGCUGAUGAGCUAGUUGGUGGGGUAAAGGCCAACCAAGGCGACGAUCAGUAGCGGGUCUGAGAGGACGACCCGCCCCACUGGGACUGAGACACGGCCCAGACUCCUACGGGAGGCAGCAGUGGGGAAUUUUGGACAAUGGGGGCAACCCUGAUGCAGCCAUGCCGCGUGUAUGAAGAAGGCCUUCGGGUUGUAAAGUACUUUUGUUGGGGAGGCGGUACCUAAAGAAUAAGCACCGGCUAACUCCGUGCCAGCAGCCGCGGUAAUUC